ACGAUGAAGCCAGCUUGCUGGUGGAUUAGUGGCGAACGGGUGAGUAACACGUGAGUAACCUGCCCUUGACUCUGGGAUAAGCCUGGGAAACCGGGUCUAAUACUGGAUACGACCUUCCCACGCAUGUGGUGUUGGUGGAAAGCUUUUGUGGUUUUGGAUGGACUCGCGGCCUAUCAGCUUGUUGGUGGGGUAAUGGCCUACCAAGGCGACGACGGGUAGCCGGCCUGAGAGGGUGACCGGCCACACUGGGACUGAGACACGGCCCAGACUCCUACGGGAGGCAGCAGUGGGGAAUAUUGCACAAUGGGCGCAAGCCUGAUGCAGCGACGCCGCGUGAGGGAUGAAGGCCUUCGGGUUGUAAACCUCUUUCAGUAGGGAAGAAGCCGGCCCUUGGGUUGGUGACGGUACCUGCAGAAGAAGCGCCGGCUAACUACGUGCCAGCAGCCGCGGUAAUACGUAGGGCGCAAGCGUUAUCCGGAAUUAUUGGGCGUAAAGAGCUCGUAGGCGGUUUGUCGCGUCUGCCGUGAAAGUCCGGGGCUUAACCCCGGAUCUGCGGUGGGUACGGGCAGACUAGAGUGCAGUAGGGGAGACGGGAAUUCCUGGUGU
rnacentral:rRNA from 1 species